GUGGAGGAGGAGGAGGAGGUGGAGGCGACUCUUUGGCUCCUCAUAAAUAUUCAGGUCGCGUCCGGAUCGCCGCCACACCACCGCAUUAUUAGCCCGAGAAGAAAAGAGGGCUUCUUGUUGCACCGCGAACAACAACAACAAACAAACAAACAAACAAAGCCGUAGAGAUUCAGAGCACAAGUGGCGCGUGCUCGACGUUAUUAAGCGACAUCUUGUUUCUGCGGCUGCUUCUUUACGACCACCGGAGAACAACGACGGCUGGUUACCUGGUGACAUUGGAUCUCUACUUUCAGCGCCUCUUGCAGGCCUCGUACUUCCAUGUUUCCGGCCCGGCCACACAAAAAAAACUCACUUUUCUGACACUUUUUUCCGACGCCACCGACGCGAAGUUUUUUUUCCUUUUUUAAUCAGAAUAUAUAUUUUUUCUUAUUUCCAAAGCGACGAUAACAAUUGGAAGAACGAACUACUCGAGCUGACGGCAAAAAAAGCAAGUUCUCGCUUUUUUUUUUCGCAGGCUCGGGACUCAUCACCCCCACUUUCCGCCCGUCUGCGAAAAGUGCUCCAAACCCGGCGGAAAGAGCUCAGGCCCCGGCGGCUCUUCUCCAGAUUCGCGGCCAAACGUCGAGUGGUCCGACGGGGGAGCGGGGCUGCUUUCCCGUCGGUUAUUUUAAGUUGAAACACGGGGACUAUAUUCUGUCCGAGUCCGCGGCUUGAUUUCACUUUGCCUGGGGAAAAGUUGCGCUUCGGCUGUCAAUGGUAAUUCUGAGAGUUCCCGGAUGGAGCAGCGAGGGCAUGCGCAGUAGGGAGAAGCUACAACUACUUCAAGGAGCAUUUUAUAAAUGCGUGCCGCUAUUGGUCCCAGCCGAGCCAAUCAAGAGCUGCGAUGAUUGAGGGGCAGCGCGGGGAACCAACGGGAGCCCGGCGUCGGGAGGAGGGGGAGGAGGAUGUGAUCGGAAAGUUGAUGAGCGAGCAGAGAUGGCAGCUGGCCGAACCCCCACUGAGCGGAGACACCUUCACGCUGCACAGCAGGAAGCAAACCUCUACAGGGAAACCUGCAGGAACCAGAGUAGAUCCUUCAAGAGACAUGAUGAAUAGCUGAAUGUAAGAAGUGGACGUAGUCAUGGCGACGUAGAAACGUCCGAUUGACUCUAAAUAGACCAUAAUGCACUAAAUGAGCACAAUGUUGUGUUGAAGAAGACUUGAAACUAGAGACUAAACUCAUGUUUACAAUGUUUACUGAGGGAAUAAAUCCAGAGAGAAGUAGAGUCAUUUCCUCAUAGACGUCUAUGGGAGCAGAGGAGUCGCCCCCUGCUGGUCACUACAGAGAAGUAGAGUCAUUUCCUCAUAGACGUCUAUGGGAGCAGAGGAUCGCUCCCCUGCUGGUCACUUCACAGAAUGCAGCUUUAACUCGUGAAGCUCUGAUCUCACCGUAAGGAUCUUUUACAGGCAC
ensembl:lncRNA